ACGCUCGACACCUACUGGAGGCAGCAGUGGGGAAUAUUGCACAAUGGGGGAAACCCUGAUGCAGCGACGCCGCGUGAAGGAAGAAGUAUCUCGGUAUGUAAACUUCUAUCAGCAGGGAAGAAAGUGACGGUACCUGACUAAGAAGCCCCGGCUAACUACGUGCCUGCAGCCGCGGUAAUCUGAGCGGGCUGGCAAGGC
rnacentral:rRNA from 1 species